GGUUAGAGGAAGUUCAUGGAGAUGGGUGGCUGGGCAAGAAGAAAAAGAUGUUUUGUCUAAUCGUGGGUCAUCUUCUUGCCUACUCCACCCAUUCCAUCCACUUCCUUGAACUU
rnacentral:pre_miRNA from 1 species